CACGUCCUCUCAGGCUCAGUCGCGCGCUGGCUCCGCGCCGAAAGCCUGCGCAGCCCACCCUGCAAAAUGGCUGCUGCGGUUUCUAGGUCUCUCAGACACGGAGGAUUCCAGGGUGGAAAGUGAGCCAGAGAGUAGCUCAGUUCACCUUUCUCCAUCCUCUAAUGCCCUGCAGGCUUACGAACAGGCAUAGUCACGUUACGUUUUCUGUCUUGCCUGAAGGCCUCGUUUCCCUAAAGUUAAUGCUUGGGGUGCUAGAGGCAGCUAGAGGCUGCAGGUUUUUCUUUGUUGAGUAGUAAAGAUGUAGCUACCGGCCAGAUUUGCUCAACUAUAGCUCCAGCCUUUCUGAGGAAACAUGUCUAAAACCAAAGAUCUCACUUUUACGUCAUUUGGGAACCAAAAGGGGACUGAGCCAGUCUCCUCCAAGGAGCAGGAUAACAUCCCAAAUGUUCACAGGAUGUGCAACCUCUGAGAAAGUGCAGUUGUUCAUCUUUAACAUUCCUAAUGAAAGGACGCAUAUGCUUUGUGAGAAAUAGUGAUCUAACUUGGGACUCUGUGCUUUCGAGGCAGGCAUUGGAACCACUGAGCUAAAUACUGGGCCCUGGACUGAACUCAGGACCUUGUGCUUGCAAGACAGGUGUGGUGCCACUGAAUUCCCCAG
ensembl:lncRNA